rnacentral:lncRNA from 1 species
AUUUUAUAAUUUUUUGAUGUCAUUUACCUUACGAUCAAGAGGUCACAAAUUUGAUAAUUUUUAAUAGCCGGUAUGGGAUACUUGCUAGUUUAACGGUGUAAAAGAAUCGGAAUUUGUUGAAUAUUCGAUAAAAAAUUCUAUUCACUACAUAUAUAAACAUCAAUAACUCCGAUCUUGAAUUGAAGGAUCCGAUCAUCCUUUUUUAGAACGUCGUUCGAUUUUGACCGUUUAUUUUAUGCCCACUUGAUGGACUUUAUUAUGAUUUUAAAAAUUUACGAAAUUUAUUUUCUAGAAGUUUCAAAUACUCUAGAUUAUAUUUAACGGAGUGAAUCAUCGAUUCGGAAGCUCCAUCAUUAAAAACAACUUAUGAGUAAGAGGGCUCCAAUACUUAUAAUAGUAUAGUAGCCCUGAC